UACGGGGGGAGCAAGCGUUGUUCGGAUUUACUGGGCGUAAAGGGCGCGUAGGCGGCGCGACAAGUCACUUGUGAAAUCUCCGGGCUUAACCCGGAGCGGCCAAGUGAUACUGUAGUGCUAGAGUGCGGAAGGGGCUACUGGAAUUCUCGGUGUAGCGGUGAAAUGCGCAGAUAUCAGGAGGAACACCGGUGGCGAAGGCGGGACUCUGGGCCGAUACUGACGCUGAGGAGCGAAAGCGUGGGGAGCAAACAGG
rnacentral:rRNA from 1 species